AUUGAACGCUGGCGGCAGGCUUAACACAUGCAAGUCGAGCGGUAGCACAGGGGAGUCUUGCUCCCUGGGUGACGAGCGGCGGACGGGUGAGUAAUGUCUGGGAAACUGCCUGAGUGGAGGGGGAUACGUACUUGGAAACGGUAGCUAAUACCGCAUAACGUCGCAAGACCAAAGAGGGGGACCUUUAGGGCCUCUUGCCAUCGAGAUGUGCCCAGAUGGGA
rnacentral:rRNA from 1 species